UACGGAGGAUGCAAGCGUUAUCCGGAAUGAUUGGGCGUAAAGCGUCCGCAGGUGGCAAUGUAAGUCUGCUGUCAAAGCGUCUGGCUCAACCAGAUAAAGGCAGUGGAAACUACAUAGCUAGAGUAAGGUAGGGGGUAGAGGGGAAUUCCUGGGUGUAGCGGUGAAAUGCGCAGAUAUCAGGAGGAACACCCGUAGCGAAGGCGGGCACUCUGGGCCGAUACUGACACUGAGGAGCGAAAGCGUGGGGGAGCGAACAGG
rnacentral:rRNA from 1 species